rnacentral:rRNA from 1 species
UUUUGGUGAACUUGAAUUGAACGUGCAAAUGCUUUCAUGGGUAAGAAAGACGAGAAGACCCCGUGAAGUUAGAAAUUUCUAUUGCAGUGUUAGGCCUCGCUGAUUUUAUGUCGGGGUUGAGCUAUAUGGGAAUAGUUUUGAAGGAUUGGAGGUUCCAAUAGUGAAGUAGGGGGUGUAGUUAGUGAGUUUUGGCUGGGGCAGCAAAGAGGCAAAGCUAGACCUCUUUUGUUUAUAGACGGGUGCGUUACGAUCCACAGGUUUGAUAGGUGUGCUUAACAGAAGAAGUUACUCCGGGGAUAACAGCGUUAUUCGUCCUAAUAGUUCUUAUAGACGGGCGGGUUUGCGACCUCGAUGUUGGCUCUGGGUAUCCUGGGGCUUGUAGGUGGUCUCAAGGGUUGGUUUGUUCGCCCAUUAAAACCCG